AAGACUAUACUUCACAGGAUCAUUUCUGUAGUCAGUCUUCAAUUACUUUCAUUGCAAAAUGAAAAAUCACACACCUGCGAUGAGGAGGCAUAUCGUUCUAUCUGUAGCGUGAGGUUUUGAACUUUGUCUUUUAUUUUACCCCUACCUUCGGGUACGGGUAAUUGGGACAAUGUUUCUUCGAUGAUCGCUCGAUUAAACAGAUAAAGCGACUUCUGAGUGGU
rnacentral:snoRNA from 2 species